AACGAACGCUGGCGGCAGGCUUAACGCAUGCAAGUCGAGCGCCCAGCAAUGGGAGCGGCGCACGGGUGAGUAACACGUGGGAACGUGCCCUUUGGUUCGGAAUAACGUAGGGAAACUUGCGCUAAUACCGGAUAAGCCCUUACGGGGAAAGAUUUAUCGCCAUUGGAGCGGCCCGCGUUGGAUUAGCUAGUUGGUGGGGUAAAACCUACCAAGGCAACGAUCCAUAGCUGGUCUGAGAGGACGACCAGCCACACUGGGACUGAGACACGGCCCAGACUCCUACGGGAGGCAGCAGUGGGGAAUCUUGCACAAUGGGCGAAAGCCUGAUGCAGCGACGCCGCGUGCGGGAUGACGGCC
rnacentral:rRNA from 1 species